rnacentral:rRNA from 1 species
AUGCCUACGAAGUUUUGGGGCGAGACGGUCUCUACGGCCGUCUUUCUCCUGAACUAUGCGCUGGCAAAAGCCCUCGACGGAAAGACGCCGUCCGAAGUUUGGCAUGGCAGCCAGGAACCCGAUGGUGAGCUUUCUUUGCACAUUCAGUUGUCUGACUUUCAUGAAAAAAGUGAAGUCAUUCCAAGGUCGAAAGACUGCAGCAAAACCAUCGUCUUCAUCGGCUACAAAUCAGGCUCGAAGACAUACAAGAUGUUCGAUCUUGUGUCACAACGUGUGCACGUUGCACUCACUGGCACACUGGCAAGUUCAGCUGAUAUCUCAGCGCAGGUGUUGAGCACACCUAAACCAGCAAUGAUGGGGAAAGGGGGUGCAGAGCACAGCAGCGGGUAG